rnacentral:lncRNA from 1 species
GCAAUGGAGAACAUUUACAGAGGACUGUGGGUAAAGCAAAGUCUUCAAGGGAAGAUAACAAAGGAUGAAACAAUGGUGUUGUGUGACUUCCUAGUGUGAAUCAUGGCAAUACAGUGAAAGACAGUGAUUUACUGCUUUUGAGGGCGUGCAUGUAUAUGAUUAACGGAUGGAAGUGCAGGACUCCAAGAUUUACUUCCUUCCCUUUCCAGCAGAAUUACCUGAGACGAGUAAAAUCUACUGGUGGAGUCACUCCAUUAUUCUUAUCUGUGGAGAUCUAGAUCUUGAUUUGAAAGUUUCUGAGAAAAUCUUCAGCUCAGACUUGAGGGUCAACUUUACCAGCUGAAGGAUCUGCAUUUACUGCUCAACCACAUCUAAUUUGAUGUCCUCUGCAGAUUUAAAAUGUGUGCCUUCUUUUCCGUCACCAAGUCAUCCCUGGGUUACUACUGAACAUCCUUCUCAAUUCCCCCCGACCCAUGGAUGGCUGUUCUCCAUUGUCUGUUUCACCAGAUGUCCUCAAAACAAACAGACAGAAGAAGGAAGUGGCUAAUGGAGCUGUGGAGUCCAAGUGUGACUGCCAAGAGGAAUCCAGCAAAGCCAAAAAGCCCAAGCAUGUAGCCCUGCCCGAAGCACGCCACACGCAUGGAAAACCCAGAGGAAAUGAGUGAGGAUCAAUGGGAAGAAGAGAGCCAGCCAGGAAGUUGAAGAUUUGUCCAGGAGCAGAUAGCUGAAGAGAGAGAGAGAGAAGAGAGAACGGCUUACAGCUCAGUUCUGGAGACCAGAAGGCCAAAAUCAAAAGUAUGGGCAGGCUUGAUUUCUUUAGAAGACUCCAGCGGAGAACUGUGUCUCCUUGCUUCUGAUUCUACAUCUCCAUCCAUGGGCCACUGUUUCAGCAACCUCAGCCAGUGCAACACAACCUCAGCCAAGAAGAGUAUGCAGAGAAAGGAGUCCCCUACCUGCCACAAAACUGUUGUCUGAAAACUGUCUCAUAUUGUCUCAAGUUGUCAUUCAUUGUGAAUUAGACCUGUUUAACAUGUAA